rnacentral:rRNA from 1 species
AGCACAUUUCUUGUGUGACCGCGUACUUUUUGUAGAACGGGCCAACGAGUUACGUUAAGUAGCAAGGUUAAGCACUUAAGGUGCGGAGCCGUAGCGAAAGCGAGUUUUAACUGAGCGUUCAGUUACUGGACGUAGACCCGAAACCGGGCGACCUACCCAUGAGCAGGAUGAAGCGAAAGUAAAAUUUCGUGGAGGUCCGAACCCACGAGCG